UCUCUGUGGUAAGGCCGGCCACUCACCAGGUCAAAGUGCAGCCAUCAAGGCUAAAAUAUAUGCAAUUCCACCCAGGCUCACUCAUUAGAAGGUGAAUUUAUUUUGAUAGUUGGGACCAUUCCCAAAUAAACAACAAAUAAAACCUCAGCCUUACAGGACAAGCUAAGUAGAUGACGCUGGAAAAUACCAUUUUUCCACAACAAACAGUCUACUAACAACCAACUGCAGUAACAAUCUUGUCUAGACGCCUGCUUCAUGUACUCAAUUAUAAUUUUUUUGAGAUGGGGAAAAUCUGAAUUAAGAUUAAAAUGUGAAAUUAGCACUCAUUUUUAAGGCACGGGAAUGGCAUUCUUGUCAUAUAAGAUAGCGUUAGUGUUUUAAUAGUCUCCUAAUUAAAUAUUUAUAUUGAAGAGGACUGGAAUAACAUGACAGAGUCACUAGGAUUUGUGUUAAAAGAGAAAAAAAGGCAAAAAGAAGGAUAGCUGGAACAAGAGGCUGAGAAUCACAGUUGUUGAAUCCAGCCCAGGAAUAUAGGCAGCUAGCUAUACUAUUCUCUCCAUUGAAAGCAUGCGUGGAACAAUUAAAAAACAGUUCCGCCGAAAUAAAACUAGUUUCUUACCAUUUGCAGUUCCUGAAACAUCUCUAGGUGGAAAGCUCUCAUCUCUUGUUAAUUCUUCCUUCAAGCUAAUGCAUAGGAGACAGCCUCCAUCUGUGUACCACGGAUACAUCACCUGCUCUUUCUGACAUAUUACAGCUGCAUCAGGAAAGUGAUGGGUGUGUCUAAAGUGUGUCCUCUGUACUCAUGUUAAAGACCCAACCUUAGUGCCUCAGAAAGUGUAUCUGUAAAAAUAUAACUAAGGUGAAAGGACCUUAUGUGGGCAGCUAUGGAGCUUUGUGUUUGGGGAUAUAGAGUUUUCUGGGAAGGUGAUUAGGUUAGAUUGAGACAGUGGGUAGACAUUAGCAUAGUUGGUGUCUUUGUGAUAAAGAGAAACACCAAGGCACAAAGACAGCAACCAUAGAGACAGCUAGAGGUGACUAUCCACUGGCCAGGCACUGAGGCUUCAAAGGGGACCAGUCCCACUGGCACCUUGAUCAUGAACUUCAGCCUUCAAAGCAGAAAGAUGGAAGUUUGUAUGUUUGAACCUUUAGCCUGUGGCCCAGGCAUACUGGUCCAGGAUGGGAUGGAGGUGGGGGCCUGCAUUCAUUAGCUGCUGGAGGGCACCCCAGGCUGCUCUCCCUUUUCCCAACAAGAACUUCACUCCUUGCUAGGAUCUCCCCUCCUGUUCUCUUUGUUUCCAGAGUACAGGAGUGAAACCAUGGCUCUGGUUGUCUUGCAUCAGCCAAAUUGCUGCCUGAACCCCGGAUUGUAACUUCUCCUUCCAGAACUUACCAUAUCUCGUUCACACACAAAUUACCCCUGGGAGAUUAUAGAAAUUUAAAAAUAAAUAAAUAAACUUCUUGAGGGAUUACAAUACAAUAGUAGCCUAUAAUUCUUCUUUCAUUGCUACUGAAAGAGAAAUGGUGCCCAAUAAGUAAAGCCUUUAUUAUAUCUUAGAAGAAAGAAAGCUCUUAUUUCUGGUUCAGAGAUUCAACAUCAUGGCAUUUAUAAUUAUAUUCUGGAGUCAACAUUGUUAAAAAUUUGGGCUUUCAUGCUAAAAAGUGAUUUUUUAAAAAAAAAAUAUAUAAUUACCUACUAAUUCUUCCCAAAUGGUAUGACUUGCCUUUUUUCUCUCUUUUUUUGAAUCAUAACUCAUCUUAAACAAUCUAUUUUUUUUUCUUUUUAGAGGAAGUCUAAAAUAACACAUGGGUGUCUCGGCCUUGGCACAGCUAAACCCUGGAACAUUGAACUGAAGUCAUAACAAUGGAGCAUCCUGGCAGGCAUCCACUGUGCCAUAUGCUUUCGGGAAGUCUGGAUGCUGAAUGUGGUGGCUGUGGGGAAUUGAGCCUUAUUGCUUCAUAAGAUUCCUGGUGGUAGAACUAUUCUGAACAAGAACACGUCCGUCCCCAUAGGUGUGCUCCAAGAAUCACAGAAUAAGAAGGGACUUCGGAGAGAGCCUCACACAGUUGGGCAAUGGGAGCCCAGAGAGGCAAGGAAGGCUCCUUGCCCAAAGUCUUGUACAUCUGAAUCUGCAACUCCUGACUAUUUUUGAGUCUUAUGCUCCAGGCUAAAACUUGUGACUUUAAGUGUGAUGUUCUCGGUGAUGAUUAAUCUAGGAUGUUUCUGUUGUUUUCUUACCGUCAAAGAAUUAACAUCAAAAGGAAAGGAAGGAAGAAAUGUAGAAGUGAAGGCAAGAAGGAAGGAAGGAGGAAAGGAAGGAAGGAAAAUAUAGGCUUUGGGUAAAAAUAAGUUUCUACUCAACACUGACAAAGGUACAGGUUUUGGACAUUGGUUUCCUAAUCUGUAAAUGAGGAAUAGUCAUCACAUCGCUGUCCUGGCUGGUUUUGUGUGUCAACUUGACACAAGCUGGAGUUAUCACAGAGAAAGGAAAGAAAAUGCCUCCAUGAGAUCUAGCUGUAAAUGGAUUAGUGAUCAAGAGUGGGAGGGCCCAGUGUGGGUGGUGCCAUCCCUGGACUGGUGGUCCUGGGUUCUACAAGAAAACAAGCUGAGCAAGCCAGGGGAAGCAAGCCAGGGGAACAUCCCUCCACGGCUCUGCAUCAGCUCCUGCUUCCUGCCCUGUGUGAGUUCCAGUCCUGACUUCCUUUGGUGACGAACAGCAAUGUGAUAGUAUAAGCUGAAUAAACCCUUUCCUCCCCAAC
rnacentral:lncRNA from 1 species